GUGCUUGCUUCGGCAGCCCAUGUACUAAAAUUGGCAUGAUACAGAGAAGAUUGGUCUUGUCCCUGCACAAGGAUAAUAUCAAUGUUCAUGACACCGCCCCUAUGAAA
ensembl:snRNA U6 U6 spliceosomal RNA